rnacentral:rRNA from 1 species
CCUACGGGAGGCAGCAGUGGGGAAGAUGGCACAAUGGGGGAAACCCUGAUGCAGCGAAGGCGCGUGAGUGAAGAAGUAAGGCGGUAUGUAAAGCUCUAUCAGCAGGGAAGAAAAUGACGGUACCUGAGUAAGAAGCCCCGGCGCACUACGUGCCAGCAGACGCGGGCAGACGUAGGGGGCAAGCGUUAUCCGGAUUUACUGGGUGUAAAGGGAGCGUAGACGGCAGUGCAAGUCUGGAGUGAAAGGCGGGGGCUCAACCCCCGGACUGCUCUGGAAACUGUACGGCUGGAGUGCAGGAGAGGUAAGUGGAAUUCCUAGUGUAGCGGUGAAAUGCGUAGAUAUUAGGAGGAACACCAGUGGCGAAGGCGGCUUACUGGACUGUAACUGACGUUGAGGCUCGAAAGCGUGGGGAGCAAACAGGAUUAGAUACCCUUGUAGUC